rnacentral:tRNA from 1 species
GGUAAUUAACAUAUCCCAAAAACA